AGGGAGAGAGAGAAGAAGAAGGGAGGACAGAAAGAAUGACAGUGGAGAGAGAGAAAGUGAGAAAGAAAGAGAGAGAGAGAGAGAGAGAAAGUGAGUGAGAGAGAGGAAGGACGUUUUGUGUGUGUUUCUUUCGCUUGCACUUAUUUCAGUGUAUUUCAGUUUCAGUAAAUGUUUUGAGUGUUUGAAGUCUGCAGAGGGACAAACACACACACACUGACACACACACACACACACACUGACACACACACACACACACACACACACACACAUACACCACACCUACAGGGAGGGCGGAUACUGUAAAACAGAUGCCAGCUGUUAGAGAGAGAGGGGGACGGACAGAGAGGUAAGAGAGAGAGUGACAGACAGAGAGGUAGAGAGAGAGAGUGACAGACAGAGAGGUAGAGAGAGAGGGAGUGAGAGAGAGAGUGACAGACAGAGAGGUAGAGAGAGAGGUAGAGACUGUGAUCUGCCGGUCUUGGUAUUGGUGUAUCAUGCAGGACGCAGGUGUGAGAGUGCAGCCGCUGGACCGAGCUCUCUGAUCGCUCCGAGGGGUGUGAGUGCAGCCGUCACACACUUGGUCAAACCCAGUCCAUGUGAAGGAUUUACCUGGUG
ensembl:lncRNA